AGGACGAACGCUGGCGGCGUGCUUAACACAUGCAAGUCGAGCGAGGCCCGUCCUUCGGGACGGUGCCCUAGCGGCGAACGGGUGAGUAACACGUGGGCAACCUGCCCCUAGCACUGGGAUAACUCCGGGAAACCGGGGCUAAUACCGGAUAUGACCUUUGAGGGCAUCCUCUUUGGUGUAAAGGAUUCUGGCUAGGGAUGGGCCCGCGGCCUAUCAGCUUGUUGGUGGGGUAAUGGCCUACCAAGGCGACGACGGGUAGCCGGCCUGAGAGGGCGACCGGCCACACUGGGACUGAGACACGGCCCAGACUCCUACGGGAGGCAGCAGUGGGGAAUAUUGCACAAUGGGCGAAAGCCUGAUGCAGCGACGCCGCGUGAGGGAUGACGGCCUUCGGGUUGUAAACCUCUUUCAGCAGGGACGAAGCGAAAGUGACGGUACCUGCAGAGAAGCACGCAACUACGUGCCAGCAGCCGC
rnacentral:rRNA from 1 species